AUUAAGUGCAGUUUUGCACUAUUCACGUUCAACGUUUGACCAUCCGUCUUAUUUGAAAAUUUUUUAUGAUUAGUAUUUUUGUUGCUAUUAGAUGAUAAAACAUGAAUAGUACUUUAUGUGUGACUAAAUGCUUUUAGUUUUUUCACAAAUUUUUCAAAUAAGACGGACGGUCAAACGUUGAACGUGAAUAGUGUAAAACUACACUUAUU
rfam:Oryza sativa (indica cultivar-group) chromosome 10, whole genome shotgun sequence.